rnacentral:rRNA from 1 species
GCUAGAGCCAUGUCACCCUGCAGCCCAAGACUGGUUAUUCACGGAAGCUAAGCAGGGCUGAGCCUGGUCGAAACCUGGAUGGGAGUCUACAUGGGAAAAACUAUAGGUUGCUGCUGGAA